UACGUAGGGGGCUAGCGUUGUCCGGAUUUAUUGGGCGUAAAGAGCGUGUAGGCGGCCAGGUAGGUCUGCUGUGAAAACUCGAGGCUCAACCUCGAGAUGUCGGCGGAAACCAUCUGGCUAGAGUCCGGAAGAGGAAAGUGGAAUUCCUGGUGUAGCGGUGAAAUGCGCAGAUAUCAGGAAGAACACCCGUGGCGAAGGCGGCUUUCUGGGACGGUACUGACGCUGGAGACGC
rnacentral:rRNA from 1 species